GUUUCGCCAAUGGUAACAUCUCAUGUAACUCCAGUACAACAUCAGACUAGGAAAUUGACAUGGGUGCAGCCUACUGACUUUAUGCAGAUUUCACCAGUUUUAAUUGCCAUCUCUGGUACCGCCAAAAGCCAAAGAGAUCAGGUAAUGCAAUACCAAAGACAGCAGAGUUUUAGACUUGAGAAGAACCUGUCCAUAACUCUUCAGACGCCACAGGAAGACAAAAGAUUCCCAAAAGGUGGAUGUGUGCUCUGUGAGGGCAGUGACUUUCCUGGCUUUCUUUGGUGUUAUAUCCUAAUAUCUAGAAGACGGCAGGGCUUCAGCAGAAAUUUGUUGGAUUAUAGCUGAUAUUUGCUGAGUGAAUGAUGCCAUGCUACUAACAUUGCAGCAAUUUCCUGGCAGCUGCCGUGUGCUUGUGUCCCCAACUUGGCAUUGCCUCAUGACCUGCAGUAAAGAAUAGUGUUUCUUUCUCUCCAUCUUCAGACCACUCACCUAUUCUGCCCUGGAAUUAAUGACUACCCUAUAAAACUGACAGAGAGAAGAACCUCCACUUCAUUACUCCUGUGGCCUAAACAUACCAUGAUAAACUAAACCAAACCCUCAUUUGCUACACAGAUCCUAUUUUCACUGUGAAAUUUAGGAAGGUAGGUCACCUGCUGAGGGAAACAGAUCACUCUAAAAUUUACUCUUUAGCAUUUACUAUCAAUACUCAAUAAAUAUUUAAUUAUGAGAUAGAUACCACAGUUUUGAAAAAUCUCAUAAACAUAAAAAAAUGACUUGUUUGAGGUUUGUUUCUGUAUUGCUGUUGUUGUUUUGACGGUUUCAUUUUGUCACCCGGGCUCCAGUGCAGUGGCACAACCUCAGCUCACUGCAACCUCCACCUCCCAGGUUCAAGCGAUUCUCCUGCCUCAGCCUCUUGAGUAUCUGGGACUACAGGCAUGCACCACCAUGCCCAGCUAAUUUUUUGUAUUUUUAGUAGAGACGAGGUUUCUCCAUGUUGGUCAGGCUGGUCUCAAACUCCCAACCUCAGGUGAUCCGCUCACCUCAGCCUCCCAAAGUGCUGGGAUUACAGGCCAUUUCUUUUAAUUUAUUUCUAUUCAUCAGCUGGCAAUUAUUUUACCCUGAAAAUCUGAUACUGGGUGUUAAACGCUGUUUUCAUCCAUUGACUAUUACUCUAGAAAUGGAUCCCUCUGCAUUAUAAAGAGGUCAGAAACUUUAUGAAGUAUGCAGAUUUUCACUUUUUUUCUUGAGGGUUUCCAUGACCCAUGAGAACAUCCACCAGUCUUUUCCCAAAGGGCCAUAAAUGUGGGGGUGAAAAUGGGCCCCCAAUCCCAUCAACUUUCCAGAACCAUGUGAACUGCGCAAAGGUUCCUGGGGAUGGUUUUGGUGGACUCUCAUCAAUGAUCAUAGUCUAGUGCACUGGGUAAGUCCACGAGUUUAUUCACUGGCCCUUGGGCAGAAUGAGGGUGGGAAGUUUACUAAGACUCACUGACCUUAGGUCUUGGAAUGAGAAUAUCCAGGUAAAAAUCCUGGCCCAGUUACAGAGUAACUGUGAGUUUUGGAAACUUUCUCAGCUUUUCAUGCUUUUGUGAGGUAAAAACACUUACCUUACAGAGUUCUUGUAAGAAACUUAAAGCAACUUUCUGACCAAUACAUUCAUUUUGUAAUUCAGUAAGAACAUCAGAUAAACCAUUUCUAACUCUAACCUAAAAUCUCUGCUGCUCUGGCUCCGGUCCACUCUUCCCGCAGAGGCUGUGAUGGCCUCAUCAUCAUGCUCUGUCCCCACACCUUCCCGAGGCUUCUAUUUUCUGUCUAAGCAAUCCCAGUUGCUUGAGUCUUCCCUCCAGGGCCUUAUCUUGAUUAACUGCUCAUAAUUAAAAUUAAAUUUGAUGAACUGGAACCAAAGCUUUUAGUUGGCUUCUUUUUAUCACUUUGCUCACUUAAUUUAGUAAAAUGCAUAAAAUGGAAAGAGUAUAAUUUUCUACUAAUUAGAGGAAGGCUGAAAAGUAGAGUAAUUUUCCGAAUAAAAGAGACAAACUCUCAGUUCUUAAUUUUCUCUGUAUAUCUGAACUUAGUACUGCAAAAACAAAACACCCUUUGAUGUGUAAAAAUCAGCUCCGAUUGUGAGGAGAUGUAAUGAGUAGUUGCGAAAAAAGUAUUCUGGAAUAUAUUUGUCAUAUACUAGACUACAUUUCUUAUAACUGGAG
rnacentral:lncRNA from 1 species